UACGGGGGGGCAAGCGUUGUUCGGAAUUACUGGGCGUAAAGGGCUCGUAGGUGGCCAACUAAGUCAUACGUGAAAUCCCUCGGCUUAACCGGGGAACUGCGUCUGAUACUGGAUGGUUUGAGGUUGGGAGAGGGAUGCGGAAUUCCAGGUGUAGCGGUGAAAUGCGUAGAUAUCUGGAGGAACACCGGUGGCGAAGGCGGCAUCCUGGACCAAUUCUGACACUGAGGAGCGAAAGCCAGGGGAGCAAACGGG
rnacentral:rRNA from 1 species